rnacentral:tRNA from 1 species
GGCUCCAUCGGCUAUGGGUUAGGCCGCAACUCUUUCAAAGUUGAGAAGCGGGUUCAAGUCCCGCUGGAGCCA